rnacentral:lncRNA from 1 species
CCUGGAUACAGUGAUGCCAUCAGGUGUGGUAUGUGAUCACAGGCAACUCAGGAACAGCUCUCCAGCCCCAGGACUUCUGCUGGAACCGCUGGGAGUUGGAAGCUUUCUUCCCACUGAGGGGCAAACCUUCUAGGUAUCUGAAGAUGUUGAAGACCAUUUCCUGGAACAGCAGAGGUAAAUGCCCAGAGGAUGAGAACACAUAGCCAUUAGGAGAGCCUGAAAGUUCAGUGUGACUGAAAGAUGAAGUUCAAGAGAAGGGACAAACUGCAAAACACAAGCUGGAGAGUUUUAGAGAGACUGUGGAAUGGAAUGACUCUCCAGAGCUGCAGAUUGAAGGCAUAUUUUCAUCUGACUUUGAUCUCAAUGGCGGGAACACCUUCAUGGCCCCUUUAUAGCUGGAUGAUCAUUUCCUGUUCUCUCCACCAUGGCCACCUGGUCCAAGCCACCAUCUUCAUGCACCUGGAUACCUGCCAUAACCUCAGCUGACCUUUCCUGUGUCCAUUCUUGUUCCUUUGGGCCCAGUCUCCUCGCUCAUAGCAGCAGAAUGAGUCUAUUAAAAAGUGAAACAAUUUCUGUCACUUCCUGGCUCAAAAGUCUCCAAUAGUUUCCCCAUGGAUUGGAAUAAAAUGUAGGUUCUAACCAUGGGGUACCAUGUAAGUUUAGGUUCACCUGUAAGUCACAGGAAAAAAAAA